UACGUAGGUGGCAAGCGUUGUCCGGAUUUACUGGGCGUAAAGAGCGCGCAGGCGGUCGGAUAAGUCGAAUGUGAAAGCCCCCGGCUCAACUGGGGAGGGUCAUUCGAUACUGUUCGACUCGAAGGCAGGAGAGGGAAGUGGAAUUCCCGGUGUAGUGGUGAAAUGCGUAGAUAUCGGGAGGAACACCGGUGGCGAAGGCGGCCUGCUGGGCAGUUGCUGACACUGAGGCGCGACAGCGUGGGGAGCGAACAGG
rnacentral:rRNA from 1 species